UGGGGAAUAUUGGACAAUGGAGGAAACUCUGAUCCAGCAAUUCUGUGUGUGUGAAGAAGGUUUUAGGACUGUAAAACACUUUUAGUAGGGAAGAAAAAAAUGACGGUACCUACAGAAGAAGCAACGGCUAAAUACGUGCCAGCAGCCGCGGUAAUACGUAUGUUGCGAGCGUUAUCCGGAAUUAUUGGGCUUAAAGGGCAUCUAGGCGGUAAGACAAGUUGAAGGUGAAAACCUGUGGCUCAACCAUAGGCUUGCCUACAAAACUGUUGAACUAGAGUACUGGAAAGGUGGGUGGAACUACACGAGUAGAGGUGAAAUUCGUAGAUAUGUGUAGGAAUGCCGAUGAUGAAGAUAACUCACUGAACAGAAACUGACGCUGAAGUGCGAAAGCUAGGGGAGCAAACAGG
rnacentral:rRNA from 1 species